rnacentral:rRNA from 1 species
AGCGAACGCUGGCGGCAGGCUUAACACAUGCAAGUCGAGCGGGCAUCCUUGUGGUGUCAGCGGCAGACGGGUGAGUAACGCGUGGGAACGUGCCCUUCGGUUCGGAAUAACUCAGGGAAACUUUAGCUAAUACCGGAUACGCCCUUUUGGGGAAAGGUUUACUGCCGAAGGAUCGGUCCGCGUCUGAUUAGCUAGUUGGUGAGGUUACGGCUCACCAAGGCGACGAUCAGUAGCUGGUCUGAGAGGAUGAUCAGCCACACUGGGACUGAGACACGGCCCAGACUCGUACGGGAGGCAGCAGUGGGGAAUAUUGGACAAGGGGGGCAACCCUGAUCCAGCCAUGCCGCGGGAGUGAUAACAGCCUUAGGGUUGUAAAGCUCUUUUCUCCGGGACGAUAAUGACGGUACCGGAGGAAUAAGCCCCGGCUAACUUCGUG